GAUGAACGCUGACAGAAUGCUUAACACAUGCAAGUCAACUUGAACUUCGGUUUGGGUGGCGGACGGGUGAGUAACGCGUAAAGAACUUGCCUCACAGAUAGGGACAACAUUUGGAAACGAAUGCUAAUACCUGAUAUUAUGAUUAUAUGGCAUCGUAUAAUUAUGAAAGCUAUAUGCGCUGUGAGAGAGCUUUGCGUCCCAUUAGCUAGUUGGAGAGGUAACGGCUCACCAAGGCGAUGAUGGGUAGCCGGCCUGAGAGGGUGAUCGGCCACAAGGGGACUGAGACACGGACCGUACUCCUACGGGAGGCAGCAGUGGGGAAUAUUGGACAAUGGACCAAGAGUCUGAUCCAGCAAUUCUGUGUGCACGAUGAAGUUUUUCGGAAUGUAAAGUGCUUUCAGUUGGGAAGAAAAAAAUGACGGUACCAACAGAAGAAGUGACGGCUAAAUACGUG
rnacentral:rRNA from 1 species